CCUACGGGUGGCAGCAGUGAGGAAUAUUGGUCAAUGGACGAGAGUCUGAACCAGCCAAGUAGCGUGAAGGAUGACUGCCCUAUGGGUUGUAAACUUCUUUUAUAUGGGAAUAAAAUGUUCCACGUGUGGGAUUUUGUAUGUACCAUAUGAAUAAGGAUCGGCUAACUCCGUGCCAGCAGCCGCGGUAAUAAGGAGGAUCCGAGCGUUAUCCGGAUUUAUUGGGUUUAAAGGGAGCGUAGGGGGUUUGUUAAGUCCGUUGUUAAAGUUUGCGGCUCAACCGUAAAAUUGCAGUUGAAACUGGCAGUCUUGAGUACAGUAGAGGUGUGCGGAAUUCGUGGUGUAGCGGUGAAAUGCUUAGAUAUCACGAAGAACUCCGAUUGCGAAGGCAGUACACUGGACUGCAACUGACACUGAGGCUCGAAAGUGUGGGUAUCAAACAGGAUUAGAUACCCCUGUAGUC
rnacentral:rRNA from 1 species